rnacentral:rRNA from 1 species
GACGAACGCUGGCGGCGUGCUUAACACAUGCAAGUCGAACGAAGAGCGAUGGAAGCUUGCUUCUAUCAAUCUUAGUGGCGAACGGGUGAGUAACGCGUAAUCAACCUGCCCUUCAGAGGGGGACAACAGUUGGAAACGACUGCUAAUACCGCAUACGAUCUAAUCUCGGCAUCGAGGAUAGAUGAAAGGUGGCCUCUAUAUGUAAGCUAUCACUGAAGGAGGGGAUUGCGUCUGAUUAGCUAGUUGGAGGGGUAACGGCCCACCAAGGCGAUGAUCAGUAGCCGGUCUGAGAGGAUGAACGGCCACAUUGGGACUGAGACACGGCCCAGACUCCUACGGGAGGCAGCAGUGGGGAAUCUUCCGCAAUGGACGAAAGUCUGACGGAGCAACGCCGCGUGAGUGAUGACGGCCUUCGGGUUGUAAAGCUCUGUUAAUCGGGACGAAAGGCCUUCUUGCGAAUAGUGAGAAGGAUUGACGGUACCGGAAUAGAAAGCCACGGCUAACUACGUGCCAGCAGCCGCGGUAAUACGUAGGUGGCAAGCGUUGUCCGGAAUUAUUGGGCGUAAAGCGCGCGCAGGCGGAUAGGUCAGUCUGUCUUACAAGUUCGGGGCUUACCCCGUGAUGGGAUGGAAACUGCCAAUCUAGAGUAUCGG